rnacentral:rRNA from 1 species
UACGUAGGGGGCUAGCGUUGUCCGGAAUCAUUGGGCGUAAAGAGCGUGUAGGCGGCCCGGUAAGUCCGCUGUAAAAGUCAAAGGCUCAACCUUUGAAUGUCAGUGGAUACUGCCGGGCUAGAGUCCGGAAGAGGCGAGUGGAACUCCUGGUGUAGCGGUGAAAUGCGCAGACAUCAGGAGGAACACCGGUGGCGAAGGCGGGACUCUGGGCCGAUACUGACGCUGAGGAGCGAAAGCGUGGGGAGCAAACAGG